CAGUGGGCGACGUUGACGGCGACGGCGUUGCCGGCCU
rnacentral:sRNA from 1 species